AUGAACCAGCAAAAAGUUAUUCAGUCUAGAUCAGAGGGAGAAAACAAGGAGAGAUGUUGCAUGAGGAAAAUGAAGACGGACCACCUGCUGAAAAGAAGGGAAGGAGGAAAUCAGAAGGUGUCUCUGUCCUUGCCAUGGUUUCUCCUGCAGAUACAUGAAAUGUCCAGCAGGACUAGAAGGGGUGAGGCAGUUCUUCACCUGUGUGCCCGAGCUCCCUCUUUAGGAUGUGGAGGUGAAGUUGCUAUCAUAUCAACUCCCCCACAUGUGAAAGAAAUCACAGCUAAUUACUUUUUUUUUUUUUUUUUUUUUUUUUUUUUCUCUCCAGCUGUAUUGAAGCGGGGAACUGUGAUCACACACUACUCCAGAUACUGGUUUCAAAGAGAUUGAACCAAGUAUAGAAUUGCACAGCUAUUUCACUUUUACCACUCGGGGCUCAAAAUGCCAACAAUCCCAUAGUGCAACCACUGGUAAAGCCUUAUUUACUCUCGACUUGGCAAACCUGUGAGAUUUCUUCAGGAUGUACUUGAUCCCAUUGUAUUCAGGAGACUGUCCCAUGUAACUUACCUUAGAAGAAAACAAAACAAAGAAACAAAUAAUAAUUCAAGACAAAGUCAAUAUUUUCUUUAGCAGCUUUGUUGUUAGUGGUAUGCUCCUGGUUGGUCAACUUGGUCUCUUCUUAUUAAAGCAACCGACUGAGAGAUUUGAACACACCAUUUCUUCCCUGAUUUUUUUCCUAUAAAUCAUUUGGCCUAUCUAUUGUUGUAUCAAACUCUAAUGUAGACUUCUCCAUGUCAUCAACUCAGAACUUUCCUCAAAGUUGAUGAAAAAUUCAGCUCGCUUGAAUUUGUUUUAGUGUUGCAAUCUCUUAUUUACCCAACAUGUUACCCAAAAUUUACCCAACAAGUUAAUUACCUGUUGGGUAAAUUUUGACCAUAUUGGGAAACGUGGCUAUGAUGGCUUCAGUUCCUGCAGAGACCCAGGCAAAUCUCUGCAUUCUACAUAUACUCACAUUUGCAAGGUAUCGGUGGACCAGUGCUCUCACAGUAAUUUAGAUUUCAAUAUCAUGUUUUGUUUGUUUGUUUGUUUGAUUUUGUUUGUUUGUUUUUCUGAGCUAGUUGUCUACAUAAUGCCUACAUUCAACCCAGUAGAAUUUUCUUUUAUUUUAGAUAAAGGCUUUGCAGCUCCAAAAUGUCCAGGAGUUUUACAGUCAUCUUAUAACUUACAACUUAAUUUCCC
rnacentral:lncRNA from 1 species